GCCAUUUUCGGAAACGCCAUUAUUUGUAGACAACGCUCCGCGUGCAGUGCAUCUUAAGAAACAAAGAGAGGUUAAAGUUUUUCGUUUUCAGAAUUCAAAAUUUUGAUUGUGCAUUUUUUUCCCAUUUUUCAAAGUAAAAUAUGAGCGUAAGAACAACACGAAGUGGCCAACGUGGUGUUUCAGGUGAUGCAGUCUCCGUUCCAAAUAACUCGUCUGCCAAUGCUGAGGUGGACAUGGUGAAUGCAUCGGAUCCACUCGAUGAUGCCAUCCAGAACAUUGGUGAUGCCCAGGCUCAGUUCAGUGCCAUCCGUGCAGAACUCCGUGAUGUCACCAAAAAAUACGAUGAUGUCAUCAAAAAACAAGUUGACAUGCAGACCGAGCUGGACAAAUUGAAAAAAUGUGCCAAGUGCUCAAAAAUCCGCAACGAAAAUUGGCAUUGUGAAGGCUGUACAUGACAGAGCAAUGAAAACGAAGGAAAAAAUCAUUAAAACAAUAACUGAUGACUUCCCCAAGCCAAUCACACCUCCGACAUCUCCGAAUGGUCCCGAAGAUGGUGCUGAUUAGGGCGAUCGAACCUGUGAUCAAUAGCAAAUGAGGCAACUGUGAGAAUUUCCAAACUGAACAUUAGAUUAUUAGUAUCGUUAAGCGCAUACACAUUUAUGAAGACUAAAAGAGGAAAUAAACACAAAACGCAUGCGUU